GGCGGCGUGCCUAAUACAUGCAAUUCGAGCGAACAGACGAGGAGCUUGAUCCUCUGACGUUAGCGGCGGACGGGUGAGUAACACGUGGAUAACCUACCUAUAAGACUGGGAUAACUUCGGGAAACCGGAGCUAAUACCGGAUAAUAUAUUGAACCGCAUGGUUCAAUAGUGAAAGACGGUUUUGCUGUCACUUAUAGAUGGAUCCGCGUCGCAUUAGCUAGUUGGUAAGGUAACGGCUUACCAAGGCAACGAUGCGUAGCCGACCUGAGAGGGUGAUCGGCCACACUGGAACUGAGACACGGUCCAGACUCCUACGGGAGGCAGCAGUAGGGAAUCUUCCGCAAUGGGCGAAAGCCUGACGGAGCAACGCCGCGUGAGUGAUGAAGGUCUUCGGAUCGUAAAACUCUGUUAUUAGGGAAGAACAAAUGUGUAAGUAACUAUGCACGUCUUGACGGUACCUAAUCAGAAAGCCACGGCUAACUACGUGCCAGCAGCCGCGGUAAUACGUAGGUGGCAAGCGUUAUCCGGAAUUAUUGGGCGUAAAGCGCGCGUAGGCGGUUUUUUAAGUCUGAUGUGAAAGCCCACGGCUCAACCGUGGAGGGUCAUUGGAAACUGGAAAACUUGAGUGCAGAAGAGGAAAGUGGAAUUCCAUGUGUAGCGGUGAAAUGCGCAGAGAUAUGGAGGAACACCAGUGGCGAAGGCGACUUUCUGGUCUGUAACUGACGCUGAUGUGCGAAAGCGUGGGGAUCAAACAGGAUUAGAUACCCUGGUAGUCCACGCCGUAAACGAUGAGUGCUAAGUGUUAGGGGGUUUCCGCCCCUUAGUGCUGCAGCUAACGCAUUAAGCACUCCGCCUGGGAUUCCCCCCCCC
rnacentral:rRNA from 1 species